UUUUCUUCUCAUGACCCAAUCCGCGAUUGUUCAAACUCCAUCUCCUUCCUAUUUUUCAUUCUCUUUCUGCAUAUCGAUGCCAAGAUAAUAAAAUUUAUAUAGGCUUAUGGAUUGCUCAAGAAAUGGACAUCUGAUUCCUCUCAAAAUCCCGAAGAAAGAAAACCAAUUUUGUAAGUAAGUGUGGCAUAGAUCUACACCUCUAGUUGUCUUUCAUAGUUUAGCAUUUACCUGG
rnacentral:lncRNA from 1 species